rnacentral:lncRNA from 1 species
AAUUCACAUGCAUGCAUCCCUAUUGAGAAUUCACAUGUUAAAAUUUAAAAUUGGAUUCACAUUCACAAUUUCACAAUUCACAUGCAUGCAUCCCUAUUGAGAAUUGACAUUUAAAAAUUUAAAAUUAAAUUCACAUUCACAAUUUCACUAAGUACUACUAUUCACAAUUAAAAUAAAAUCAAAUUGAGAAAAAUGAAAAGAAAAUAAAAUAAAAUUAGGAAACUAACGCUCGGAGAUUGGAGGCACGGUUGGCCGGUGACACAGAGAGGAGGGGCCUGGCGGUGGAGCGGCGCGGGGAGGGGAGGCACCGCGGUGGCAGCCCGAGAAGGGGAGGCAUGGUCGGCCAGUGAUAGGAGGGGCCCGGCCCCGGCGGUGGAGUCGGCGCGGGGAGGGGAGGCACCAUGACAGGAAGGCACCGCGUGAGGAGGGGAGGAGGCAUGGCGCUGCGGCCCGGUGUGGACUGCCUAUAUAGGAGGGCAUUAGCAGGGACCCGCCCC